ACAAACGAAACGUCGUACAUCGUACAGCUUAUCUAAGUCGGUUAUGUUUUCCUCCUAGGAUUCUGUCGCCGCCACGCAAAAAGUUCUUAUCUUAGUCGGUUAUCAUCUUAUAUAUAGGCUUUAUAUUCCCUCAACUACAACACCAACUAUUGAGAUUCUACAAUCUCAGCUGUCGCGUUGGCUGCUCUGAUAAGAUGGUCUCUCCUGCCUUCUUUGCCUCUAGAAAGUUUUUGGCUCAAAAAGCUGGAAUGCAGACAAAUUAAAAUUCUUUGCGUGGUUUGCUGGAUUUUCCAUAUUGUAAGAUGUCAAUCAAGGUUAUGUAUUCAGAAGCGUGGAGAACAUCCGUAGGAAUUUGCUCAUGUUGAAUGAAGAUGUAAUAGGUAUAAUGGGGACAUAAAAGGCCUAAUUUCAGGGGGGUCAAGUCCCUUUUAAAUUACUCUCUGUUACAACUCUGGCCUUUGCCAUGUCGGGUGCGCUCUCAUGGCAGGUCGCUCACUUAAUAAAAAAUUGUUUUUGCGGGUUUUGGGGGGUGGGAGAUAGCACGGGAACUUUUUGGCCCGGGAUCUCUACCCUCUUUUGUGUGUGUGUGUGUGUGUUUUUUUUCUCGCUUCUCUAAUUCUUCUCUGCUCCUUACGCUCUACGUAGAUGGCAUAAAUUGAUCGUCUGACCUAAGUGCAAAUUCUCAACGAGCUAUAUAUUCUUAGUUCGCAGCCCAUCUCAGGUACACAACACGUUUCUGGUUGAGCUUAUAUUAUUCCAAGUAUUGUCGAUUGAAGCAACCCAAACACAAGACGUUUCUACUUAACUUGCAAUUGAUAUAUUAUAAUGCAUACCUGUCAGAAAACAAGAGCUAGUAAUAUUUUUAUGCUAAGCAGAAUUAUUUUAAAUCCAUUGUCAAUGGAAGCAAAACCUAAUUUGUGUUUAAUAUAUGUUGCAAGUUUGUGCAGUUAGCGCUGUAGUGGAUGACGAAUGCAAUCUCCCAUCUCCCGAAGUGUAGAACAUGAAUUUCAUCACAGAUGUAACCCCAAAGUUAAUAAACCAAUUAUCCUGUGAAAUUGCAUGCUACGGUAUCCAUGUGAACUUAUCUAUCUAAUCAGCUAAGCAACUUCUAAGUCGGUUGUUUGUACAUUGGCAGCUGGGCCUCAGGUAUGCGUUGUAGGCUUGUAAUUUUGGUUUUGCCCUAAUUCACAACUAAUAAUGCAUGUAAGACACAGAAAACUAAAUAAUGUAUAGUGCUUUCAACUUGAUGCUUCUAUAAUUUGAUAAAGCUAUUAUGGUUUUACCUACAUACAGACGUGAUCUACAGACUUGAAUUUUAAUUGCAGCAGAAUGAAGAGCCCAUUAUCUGCUAGUAAUAGAGUAUUCAAACUGGUAUUCAUUUUUCCUUUCAAUGUUGUCAGUUAUCUGAUACUUGUGCAUUAGAGGUGUCAUUGCUCUUGUUUAUUAUUCACCAUAUAUUAUUAUGAGCUCUAGUGAAUUUGGGACGAAUCUUCGGACCAAAAGAAAAAGAAUUGCGAUGAAUCUCGGAGAAUUUCAAAUAUUAGAUGGAGGUCUGCAAUGGUUAGAACUUUCUGCAACCGAAAACUAGAGAGUUCAUCUGCAUCACUUUGUAAAUCUGGUAUUGGUGGCCAUCAUUCUGAUUUCUCGUUGUCGGUUGAAAUUUCUUUGCUGUAGUAAGAUUUUGUCUGUUAAACUUGAAAUGCAAUUGGUAUCACUUUCAUGGAGAGCUGGCAUUGGUGGCUGUUGUUCCAAUUAUCUUUUGCCAAUACAGAGGAUAUGCCAGAAUUACUUUAGCAGUAGUAUGAUAUUUGAAGGUUAGUGAUAGCAAUUAAGCUUUCAGUUCAAAUAAAUGAGGUGAAAUUGCUGUUGUAUAGAACAACUUAAUUAUAGUGAUGCUUCUGCAUAUCUAAAGAUUUUGGGAAUCUAUGUUAUAAUCAAUUUAAUUUGCUGUUUGAGCUAUUCCAUUCUGGUACUGUAGAUGUGCUUUAGCACCAGGCGCUCGGGCAAGUUCUUCUAUUCCAACUUUUUAGUACUAAUUUUCAUCUACGUUUGUUUUUCUUGAUAUUUUCAUUACGUACGCAUAUAUUUUCCUUUUAGUAUUUAUUAAAAUUUAAAUAUGCCAAAUAUAAAGUAUGAAUUUGGUUAUUCAGAACUUAAGGAAAAAAAGUUAAAAUCUUUCAUACAAUCCCAAAAAGAAGAAAUGAUAGUACUCUAAUUGAUAUACUCAAUCUAAUAGAGGCUUGAUUCUUUUUCAAAUGUUUAUAUUGCAUAUAGAAUAAAGGUAACAGUUCAUGUAACAGUUGUCUCAGGUCAUCCUCGAUCACAAACUAAAAAUUUGAAAGAAUUUUUUAAAUUAAAAUUGAUAAAAUUUUACUUAAUAUCAACCAUGGCGCAAGAGAUUAAAUGAAUUAACUAUAUUUUCAAUUGAAAAAUAACAAUUAGAAGAAUUAUUUCAUAAUUUUGCAUCUGAAAAAGCUAGAAAAUUAUAUUUCAAAUAAAUAAUAUAUAUGAAAGCUUUUAUUUUUUAUUAUAAAAAAUAAUUAAAGGUAAGUUUGGCUUUAGGGCCCAAUAGUAUUGAGCCAUCCCCGAACUCGGUUUGCUUUUUACGUGUUUCAUUGUAGGCUUUUGGUUUGUAGAUAGGCAGAGGUUUCUGUUACUGUGCUUUGGUAGUAGUAGAUUGUUGGUAAAUCCAUUGUUAUGUACUUAUGUCGAACAGUGAGCAAGUACAAGAUGGAAAGGUCUCUUUUCCUGUGUAGCGAGGGUGCAGAUGUCUCGUACACAACAGCAAGGGCGAAUGUUGUUCAAGAUUUUUGUUUUUGUUGCUGUGCAAGCUUUUCUUCGGCUGGUAGCUGGGUAAAAACAAGCUAUUCAUGGGGUUGAGAUUUGGUACAUGAUAAUGUUUGGCUGCAAAAGAUACUUGUACUUCUUCAGGUAUUGCUUUUCGGGUGUGAUUCUGUUCCUUUAGUUUCUUUUUUGUGGUCAAUUUGUCUCAUCCAGUUUAUGGAGGUAUUGCAUUCUAUAAUAUGAAUUUUUCAAGUGAGUGUAUGUUUGAUCAGAGAAUCAGGGCAAAACCACAAAAAAAGAGUCAAGAGGCUAACUUGAAAAGUCAGUCAGAAAGAAAACAGAAAGAGAGGAAUAGCUAGAUGUUCUGAGAAAAUCAAUAUGACUCGUGGAAAGUUCUGUGUAGACCCAUAUGAGGUAUUCAUGUUUACAUGGUGAUAAUCAAUUAAUUGAGAAAUAAAAUAUGAGGGGCGCCCCAGGUGAACUGGCAAGCAAUGUGUUUAUUUCACACAUGAAAAAUAAGAUUUUUGGCAAUGUGCUAGGCAAUCUGGGUGUCACAAUGUAUUGGUACAGCAGCAGAAACAGAGAGCCCAUCAAACAGGUUUAAGUAAAGCUGCUUAGUCAACCUCAACAUAAGAUAAUAAAACAGUGGGAUCAAUCUCUUGGACUUCAAACAGAUAAAAGGCCGAGGAAUUGUAAUGAAAUAACUAGUAAUAAGACUCUAGAAAUAGGAGCAGUCUAAACUGAGUUAAGGCUAGCCUCGAAAAUAGAAACUGUACUGUUGAGUAUUGAAUUAUACUUAACAAGAUUGCUAGGACAAGUUCAUUCAGCAGAUGUCACAGAAAACAUGACAGCACUUAAACGGCCCUUGCAAGGCUGAGGAAGUGAUUGAGAUGUCGAAUUGUGAAGGAAAUAUCAGGCUUGGUGUAGUGCGGAAAAUUCAACUUUGCAACCGGAUAAUCUGACUGACGAAUCCAAAGAAACAACAACUGGGGGGUUAAAAAGAUUCUGGUGUGUUUGUGUUGAUUGACAACAUAACUCUGUGGGAGCUGAGGGAUUUCAUCUAAGGCAAAGGAAAUAAAGAACAAGUCAAUACACCUGCUUGAUCCUGUACUAUUCAUUCAGGAGAGAUCUCAGGGCGAGCAUUUAAGCAUCAUGAUUACUAGCCAAAAUAUGUGAGGGAAAAAACAUUUGCACUCGGGGAUGAAUGAUGCACCUAUUUUUGAACCUCUUUAUCCGAGGACUUCAAAGGCAAAAUUAAAGGAUAUACUCUACACGAGCUUGAAGGUAAGCCGAUAGAGGACAGGGUAUUCAUAUGUUAUUCCUAUUUUUUACAUUUUUAGGAAGGCUGUACUUGCCAAAUUGUAAAUCGAAAUCGCGUAUCUUUGUGUAUUGCUCUGUGGAGUAUGUUUUUCUAGAGUAUCAAAUUUUGUCCAGAAAUAUGAUCUUCUGGGGAAGUUGGUGUCAUAGAACUCGAGUUGUAAUGUGACGCAAUUUCAUUUUAUAGUGAGUUUGCAAAACGCUUAAA